GACGAACGCUGGCGGCGUGCCUAAUACAUGCAAGUUGAGCGCUGAAGGUUGGUACUUGUACCAACUGGAUGAGCAGCGAACGGGUGAGUAACGCGUGGGGAAUCUGCCUUUGAGCGGGGGACAACAUUUGGAAACGAAUGCUAAUACCGCAUAAAAACUUUAAACACAAGUUUUAAGUUUGAAAGAUGCAAUUGCAUCACUCAAAGAUGAUCCCGCGUUGUAUUAGCUAGUUGGUGAGGUAAAGGCUCACCAAGGCGAUGAUACAUAGCCGACCUGAGAGGGUGGUCGGCCACAUUGGGGCUGAGACACGGCCCAAACUCCUACGGGAGGCAGCAGUAGGGAAUCUUCGGCAAUGGACGAAAGUCUGACCGAGCAACGCCGCGUGAGUGAAGAAGGUUUUCGGAUCGGAAAACUCUGUUGGUAGAGAAGAACGUUGGUGAGAGUGGAAAGCUCAUCAAGUGACGGUAACUACCCAGAAAGGGACGGCUAACUACGUG
rnacentral:rRNA from 1 species